AGUGAACGCUGGCGGUAGGCCUAACACAUGCAAGUCGAACGGCAGCACAGGAGAGCUUGCUCUCUGGGUGGCGAGUGGCGGACGGGUGAGGAAUACAUCGGAAUCUACUCUGUCGUGGGGGAUAACGUAGGGAAACUUAUGCUAAUACCGCAUACGACCUACGGGUGAAAGCAGGGGACCUUCGGGCCUUGCGCGAUUGAAUGAGCCGAUGUCGGAUUAGCUAGUUGGCGGGGUAAAGGCCCACCAAGGCGACGAUCCGUAGCUGGUCUGAGAGGAUGAUCAGCCACACUGGAACUGAGACACGGUCCAGACUCCUACGGGAGGCAGCAGUGGGGAAUAUUGGACAAUGGGCGCAAGCCUGAUCUAGCCAUACCGCGUGGGUGAAGAAGGCCUUCGGGUUGUAAAGCCCUUUUGUUGGGAAAGAAAUCCAGCUGGCUAAUACCCGGUCGGGAUGACGGUACCCAAAGAAUAAGCACCGGCUAACUUCGUGCCAGCCGCCGCGGUAA
rnacentral:rRNA from 1 species